rnacentral:lncRNA from 1 species
CACGGGGCGUGUCGGGAGGAGGACACGCUUCCACGGGUGCGAUUCGGAGCGAGCCGCCCCCGUUUGGGCACAAUGAGGAAAUCAGAUUGCUGCCAAAGGAGCGUGCCCGUCUGACGGAGCUGUUUUGCAACCGCCUGCUGACACGAUCCCAUCUUUUAAACCGCAGUGCGGGCGCCGGGGGGACCCAGCAGCCACCUCCCUGCUGCCAAUGAUGCGGAGGAGGCGGGGAUGCUGCGUGCGUCCCCGGGUGACAUUUGUCACCGAGCGGCUGCUGGGAACCCGCUGGGGUGAACCGAGAAGCCUGGAAGCGCUGCAGCAGGGACGGCACAGGGCUGAGUCAUUGCAGUGCCAGGUCUGUCACUUUGCAGCGGGGCCGCUGUAAUUAUGCUGUGGGAAGCAGAGCUCACUUCGCCGAACCCUGAGCGGAUUAAGGAUCCUCCGUGCCUUUUCCCACCCCUCUCUGCCAGGUCUGAAGGGGUAGAAACCAUCACUGAACGCCACAUCGUCCCAUGUAAACAAGGCGGACUUGUUCAUUCUCUUUAUUUUAGGUAUCAAACUGAAUGUUCCAGCUCUUGGAGAAUUGGAUUCACUCUUUCCAGGCGUGUCUCCCAGUGCUUUAAAGCUUUAAAGGCAUCGCUCCACUCUUUUGGAUUAGUGACCCAUUCUAACUGCUCCUCAUUGACCGACACUGUGGGUCUGUCAGAGUCCAUUGGACGCAGCUUACAAAGGAGUUUGAGCCGGAGAUGAAGAGUUUACAAAAAGUUUGUAGGAAACCACGGAGUCCUUUGAAAAGAGAAUAAACUGCCACUGCUGUGUCUGGGCUGAGUUAAU